rnacentral:rRNA from 1 species
UACGUAGGUGGCAAGCGUUGUCCGGAAUUAUUGGGCGUAAAGAGCUCGUAGGCGGCUUGUCACGUCGGGUGUGAAAGCCCGGGGCUUAACCCCGGGUCUGCAUUCGAUACGGGCUGGCUAGAGUGUGGUAGGGGAGAUCGGAAUUCCUGGUGUAGCGGUGAAAUGCGCAGAUAUCAGGAGGAACACCGGUGGCGAAGGCGGGUCUCUGGGCCGAUACUGACGCUGAGGAGCGAAAGCGUGGGGAGCGAACAGG